rnacentral:rRNA from 1 species
GAUGAACGCUGGCGGCGUGCUUAACACAUGCAAGUCGAACGGAAAGGCCCUGCUUUUGUGGCGUGCUCGUGUGGCGAACGGGUGAGUAUCACGUGAGUAACCUGCCCCUGUCAUUGGGAUAACUUCAGGAAACUGGGGCUCAUAUCGGAUAGGAGCUCCUGCUGCAUGGGGGGGGUAGGAAAGAUUCGGCGGUGGGGGAUGGAUUGGCGGCUUAUCCGCUUGUUAGUGGGGUAGUGGCUUACCAAGGCUGCGAAGGCUAGCCGGCCUGAGAGGGUGACCGGCCACAAUGGGACUGAGAGACGGCCCAGACGCCUACGGUAGGCAGCAGGGGGGAAUAUUGCACAGUGGGCGGAAGUCUGAGGCAGAAACGCCGCGGGCGGAAUGACGUGUUACGAGUGGUAAACCGCUGUCGCCGUUAACGUGGCGAGAGUGACGGUAAUGAGUAAGGAAGCACCGGCUAACUACGUG